CAAAACGCCGGUUCCCAUACGAUAAUCGAAGUUAAGCAACGUUGAGGCCUGGUCAGUACUUACAUGGGUAAUCGCUUAGGAAUACUGUGUUCUGU